GAAAGUCGUGUGCAAUGAAAAAUGCAAGCACGAUUUGGGGAGGGAUUUUUCUCUAUUGUCAUUGAAUCCUUGGGGUUCCAGAAUCCGCCUAUUUUAC
rnacentral:ncRNA from 1 species